GGCCUGGUGGCGAAGAAGCAACGCGGCGGUCUGCAAAACCGCUAUGCGCGGGUGCGAAUCCCGCCCAGGCCU
rnacentral:tRNA from 1 species